rnacentral:rRNA from 1 species
UACGUAGGGUGCAAGCGUUGUCCGGAAUUAUUGGGCGUAAAGAGCUCGUAGGCGGUCUGUCGCGUCUGCUGUGAAAACUCGGGGCUUAACCCCGGGCCUGCAGUGGGUACGGGCAGACUAGAGUGCGGUAGGGGAGACUGGAAUUCCUGGUGUAGCGGUGAAAUGCGCAGAUAUCAGGAGGAACACCGGUGGCGAAGGCGGGUCUCUGGUCCGUAACUGACGCUGAGGAGCGAAAGCGUGGGGAGCGAACAGG